GAUGAACGCUGGCGGCGUGCCUUAUACAUGCAAGUCGAGUGGGUUUAGACCCACGGCACCCGGGUGAGUAACACGAAGGUACUUUCCUUGUCACAGGAAUAACCCUCCGAAAGGAGGGCUAAUACCUGAUGUGAUCGCAAGAUUAAAGGGUAUCCGCAAGGAUUACCGGACAAGAAGAGGCCUGCGGCCUAUCAGCUAGUUGGCGGGGUAAAUGCCCACCAAGGCUAUGACGGGUAGCUGGUCUUAUGAGGAUGAUCAGUCACAUGGGCACUGAGACACGGGCCCAACUCCUACGGGAGGCAGCAGUAGGGAAUUUUGCGCAAUGGGCGAAAGCCUGACGCAGCGACGCCGCGUGCGGGAUGAAGGCCUUCGGGUCGUAAACCGCUUUUAUAAGGGACGAACUUUGACGGUACCUGAUGAAUAAGAGGUUGCUAACUCUGUG
rnacentral:rRNA from 1 species